UACAGAGGGUGCGAGCGUUGUUCGGAAUUAUUGGGCGUAAAGAGCUCGUAGGCGGCUUGUCGCGUCGUCUGUGAAAUCCCGCGGCUCAACUGCGGGUCUGCAGUCGAUACGAGCAAACUAGAGUGUUGCAGGGGAGACUGGAAUUCCUGGUGUAGCGGUGAAAUGCGCAGAUAUCAGGAGGAACACCGGUGGCGAAGGCGGGUCUCUGGGCAACAACUGACGCUGAGGAGCGAAAGCGUGGGGAGCGAACAGG
rnacentral:rRNA from 1 species